rnacentral:rRNA from 1 species
AUUGAACGCUGGCGGCAUGCCUUACACAUGCAAGUCGAACGGCAGCGGACCUUCGGGUGCCGGCGAGUGGCGAACGGGUGAGUAAUAUAUCGGAACGUACCUUUCAGUGGGGGAGUAACGUAGCGAAAGUUACGCUAAUACCGCAUAUUCUGUGAGCAGGAAAGCAGGGGAUCGCAAGACCUUGCGCUGAUUGAGCGGCCGAUAUCAGAUUAGCUAGUUGGUGAGGUAAAGGCUCACCAAGGCGACGAUCUGUAGCGGGUCUGAGAGGAUGAUCCGCCACACUGGAACUGAGACACGGUCCAGACUCCUACGGGAGGCAGCAGUGGGGAAUCUUGGACAAUGGGCGCAAGCCUGAUCCAGCCAUGCCGCGUGAGUGAAGAAGGCCUCG